rnacentral:ribozyme from 1 species
CGAUAAUCUUCUUAUCAAGAAGGAUAUUCCAACCGAGACCGAUAACCUCACCCAUUUGUACACACUCGUCGUCAGAACUGACAACACAUUCGAGGUUUUUGUUGACA